rfam:Calypte anna contig11858, whole genome shotgun sequence.
GGGGGUGUAGCUCAGGGGCAGAGCAUUUGACUGCAGAUCAAGAGGUCCCCGGUUCAAAUCCGGGCGCCCCCU